CAUAUAAAAAAGACAACUUUGUUCCACAGAGUAGCUGUUGACAUUAUAGUUGCGCAGGCACUUUGUUGACUCUAGAGAACCUCGGGUCCAUCGCACAUCCCCGUGACGGCGAAUUUGCAUUUGGAUGUCAUCCAUAUCAACUUUCGAUGCCAGUUUCUGCGCCUACCAUGGUGACUACAGGUAAUGGGGAAUUAGGGUUUCAUUCCGUACAGGGACCCUGAGAAAAGGUUACCACAUGCAAGGAGGGCAAGAG